GUUUUGCUUUUUUUUUAAUCAGGUGAGGAUAUUUGAAAAAGCAUUGCUGUGAAUGGAUGAAAGAUCUCAAACUGUUACAGUACAGUGGCAGACGCACAGAAACAGAUGGCUGGCAGAGAGUGGUUUCUUGUGCAUGACGAAUUAUUGCAUCUGCUGGUGUGAUUGUGCAAAGCUCGGGGUCAGUUCAUCUCGUCAGGAAACCAGGAGGAACCGUAAUCUUGAAAGCGGAGAAACGAAAGCAGAGCCGCCGUCUUUUUAUUUUUAAGCAACUCGUCUUUUUUUUCUCUCUUUCUGUAGUCCGGAAUCAUCCGCACGAGAAGAGGCAAGACGGAUCUCCUGCAGGCCUUCGAGGUGACGGCCAGUCUCUAAUAACCAGCUAAGACCUGCAGGACGAGCACAGGAUGAUCUGUUCCGCCGCGCUUUGUCACACCUCCUCACUCGCAUCGCAAGAUGCCCCAAGGAUGACCGGCCAAAGUUACUCAGACGUCACAAUGAAUAACAAAAACCAUCAAAACUCCAUCAAAACAAAGUGCUUGCAUGGCUCCUUUCCAGACCUGGCUCUGCUCCAUUUUCAUUUUUAGUGGCAUUUCCUAAUUAGAUGAGAAGCAUGUUUUAAUAUGGAUGUCCUCAUUGUAUUAGAAGGAAAACAGAAACACAAAAAUAAAAAGAUAGCAUCUUUUAGCCUGCAAUGCAGCGCAAAAAAAAGAAAAAAAGUUUGCAUCCGUCUCUUCUUCUUUUCCAGGCAUUCGCAGAUGCAACAAAAAAAUCAAUGCACGAAAAGCACUUCAUUCCUGCUAAGUUUCAACCUUCGCUUCCAGUAUAAUUAAAAGUGGCUUCAACAGACUUUCCAAUCCCAAUUUUCCCCGUCAGCUUGAGGAAAAGGGCUUCUCUUGGGAUUGUUAUGGAAUCCCUUAAGCAGAGCUCAGGCUGUCUAAACAGAAGGUUGAUUUACCCACAACUAUACAGUUACGUAAGAAAAAUGUUUGCUGUGAAUGAGUGCAAUGCAGCUGCAAAAAAGAAAACACAAACAUAGGGGAUGCAAGAGGUAAGAUUUUAAUUGUUGUAAAAUCCCAACUUGAUUUGCCAAAGGGAACAGAAAGUAAAGCACAAUCUGCUUUUUCUUGCCAAUAUGUGAAUGUAAGUAAACAUCUAAAGGGUAAUUUAUUUUAGUAAUUUUUUUUUUU